rnacentral:rRNA from 1 species
GACGAACGCUGGCGGCGUGCUUAACACAUGCAAGUCGAACGGAAAGGCCCUGCUUGCCGGGUACUCGAGUGGCGAACGGGUGAGUAACACGUGGGUGAUCUGCCCUGCACUUCGGGAUAAGCCUGGGAAACUGGGUCUAAUACCGGAUAGGAGCCAUUUUUAGUGUGAUGGUUGGAAAGUUUUUUCGGUGUAGGAUGAGCUCGCGGCCUAUCAGCUUGUUGGUGGGGUAAUGGCCUACCAAGGCGGCGACGGGUAGCCGGCCUGAGAGGGUGGACGGCCACAUUGGGACUGAGAUACGGCCCAGACUCCUACGGGAGGCAGCAGUGGGGAAUAUUGCACAAUGGGCGCAAGCCUGAUGCAGCGACGCCGCGUGGGGGAUGACGGCCUUCGGGUUGGAAACUCCUUUCGCUAGGGACGAAGCUUUUUGUGACGGUACCUAGAGAAGAAGCACCGGCUAACUACGUG